UACGUAGGGGGCAAGCGUUAUCCGGAUUUACUGGGUGUAAAGGGAGCGUAGACGGCAGUGCAAGUCUGGAGUGAAAGGCGGGGGCUCAACCCCCGGACUGCUCUGGAAACUGUACGGCUGGAGUGCAGGAGAGGUAAGUGGAAUUCCUAGUGUAGCGGUGAAAUGCGUGGAUAUUAGGAGGAACACCAGUGGCGAAGGCGGCUUACUGGACUGUAACUGACGUUGAGGCUCGAAAGCGUGGGGAGCAAACAGG
rnacentral:rRNA from 1 species